CUUUAAUGUAUAUAAUGGGAAGGCUGUAACAGCCAUACCAGCUGUUGCAAAUUGCUGCUUAUUUGUCAAGGAAAUAAAGUAAGAGCAGAAGAAAUGCAAAUCACCUUGUCAGCCUCUAGUGGAAUGAAUGCAACUGACUCUCUGCCUGGGAGAAGGAUAACUUAAAUACUGAGUCAGCGAAUGUAAAUUACUGGUAUUUCAGGAAUCAAAAGCAAACUCACGCUGUGGUAGAAAAGGAAUAAGUGCAUCUCCAGGAUCACUCAGGGCUGGAAGGAAAAGAAUUACAUCUUUGCACAUGCUGAAUACAGCCCUUUCAUAUUGUGGCUUUACACAACAUUCUUGGCCUCUAAUCUGGUUCAGAGAUAACUGUGCUUCAGGCUUAUCAUUUACAUAGAGGAUGAAGACAACUGCAAAGUAGCAAAGAAGGGAUUCAGAUUCCUCUAAUGGAGAGGUUUGGAAGAGAAGUGAACAGAAGAUAUUGCCGUGGUUUGCUUAAAUAUGAGACAGAACAUUUUCAUUACUCCUGAAGGACAUGUACGGAGAACUGGCAAAAGCUGAGAUUGUGAAGGUGAUAAAAAAGAAAUGAUACAACCUGCCUCCACAUCCUAAAGAGGCAACCUUACAUCGUGGAUGAACUUACUCUUUUACUGAUGAUGGAUAUCCAGCUGACCUUCCACUGCUCAGAAAAGGGAUGGUUGAAGCUCAAGAGCCCAUCACUUGCAGUGCCCAUUAAGGAGCCCAUUACUGAUGGCUGGCAAACACCGUGGAAUAAGAAAGGAGUUCGUCUUGGAGGGUAAGCCAGAGAGUUCUGUGUAUAUUCAUGAUGGGUACUGUGGGCUACAUGUGUGUUUUACCAAGUUGGCAGCCAUAAGACUGGCUAAAAUUGCCUUCGUAUUGAGAGUUCAGUAAACUAUUCAAUGAACUAUUUGUGAGUGCUUUGAAUGGUUACCUUUAAAGAGAUAUUC